UUGGUACCGUAACUUCGGGAUAAGGUACGCCCUUGUAGUUUGACUGGCUCGCGCCAGAAGGACGAAGGGGUUGCAAUAAAAUGGUGGCUGCGACUGUUUAAGAAAAACACAGCACUCUGCAAACACGAAAGUGGACGUAUAGGGUGUGACGCCUGCCCGGUGCUGGAAGGUUAAUUGAUGGGGUCAGCCGCAAGGCGAAGCUCUUGAUCGAAGCCCCAGUAAACGGCGGCCGUAACUAUAACGGUCCUAAGGUAG
rnacentral:rRNA from 1 species